CCAUUUUACCAGUACAUAUUUAACAAAGCACUUAAUGUGUCCUUUUAGGGUCAUUAUUGUUUAAUGUCAAAAAAUCAGUAGAUAUUUUGAAAGUCAUUCUAAUUUGGAACUAUGAGGUAUUAUGAUUUGGAGGUUAGAGCUCAAUAACAUUACCACAAGAAAAUCCAGAACUUGUUUCUUAACCUGUGACCGAAGACACCCUCCUCACCUCUGUCAUAGUUACCUUCCUGAAAGAUGAAGCUAUGCCAGUCACGUCAUCCACAUCUUUAAGACUCCUGAUGGCUCCCUGUGGCCUAACAGAUAAUAUUAAAACAUUUUAGGGAACACAAGAUCCAUUAAAAUUUGAGCCUGGUUUUAACCUUCCACACCUGUUUCUGCUAUUGUCUCAUCUUGGGAUUCUCCCAUUCUGAAAUCACCUUACACCAUAACCAGGUCACAAGGCUUUUUCAAGAUUUGGUGCCUUUGCUUGGACCAUUUCAUCUGCCUAAAAAGCCCUCUUUAAACAACUCUGAUGGCUGUGGCCAGAGCCAUUUGCUCACUUUCCCUCACCCAUUUCUCACCUCUGUGGGGCUAAAAUGCAACGGUGAACAUAUCACUGCCAAGUCCUGUGCUUUACCGAGCAGAGAGCCUAAAAGAUUAGGGUUAAGAUAAUUGUCCAAACUUGAUGCCUUAAUCUUCUCUCCUAUUGAUUCACAAUACACCCUACCUCUUUCCAGUAGCUAUCACCCUAAAUAUCUGUGCAAAAUCCCCUGAUAUGAUUACAUAUGUAACUUUGGGGCACCCGGGUGGCUCAGUCCAUUAAACAUGUAGCUAGUGGCUACCAUAUUGGGCAGUGCCAUUCUAGAAUCCUCGUAGGCUUAGAGACCAACUCAUAGGACUAUCAUUUCAGGGCUUAGGCCUUUAACUGUAAAGAAAAGAAUUUUAGAAAUGGACAACUGAUCAUAAAAAUAAGGUGCUAGUAGGGUCAUAUGUUUGCAGGAAUUUUUUUCUUUUUCCAUUCUUCGGGACUUAAUUAUCUACAAUUGAGCCUAUAUAAUUUUGCAUUAGUUUUCAUGAUGCUUUUUAAAUGUUCUACACACUUCCUUUUGUAAGUUCUGCCACUCUAGAAUAAUAAUGCUAAUUUUCUAUUUUGUUAAUUAUGUAUUUAUACCUUUGUGAAUGUGCUGCAUAUAGACAACAUGUAUUAAGCUAGUGAUUGGGCUAGUCAAUGAAGUAUUAGACAAGAAAGAUUGCUUUUAUGGAAUACAUGAAAACAUACAAUCGCCCCUAAAUGAAUUCAGAUAGCGUUCACAAUGGUUAAAAUAGGGAAGGCAAUACAGUGUGGAAGUUAAAGCACAAAUGUAGGUGCGAGAUAGACUUUGGUGAAGUUAUUCAACCUAGCUAAUCUUCGCAGUUUCCUAUUCUGGAAAAUGAGGAGGAUAAAAAUAGUAUGCCACCCACUGACAUAAUGCCUGUAAAGCUCUUAGGUUAGUGUCUGGCACAGGGCAAGUGUUUAAAUGUUAGUUGGUAUUGUUACUGUGAUAAUGAUUAUUAUUAUUUUAUCAGUGUUCUCAUUGGGGUAGAACUUUACAGUUGACAAAGCACUUUCAGAAUGUAAUCUCAUCUGACCCUCGAAACAGCCUUCGAGGCAGGUAGAUAGUCCCACUUUAAAAGAAAAGUGAUAUUUAGAAACUUUAAGCAACUUGUUCAAGCAACAAAAGGCAGAGCUGUCUACGGACUCCAAAACCCACACACGGGCCACUACGCUGCUGCCAUCAUUACUGCCAGAAUACAAUGAUGUGGUUAAAUAAAUGCAAAACUCGAUGACUACCUUCAUUCCGCCACGUCAGACCAAACAUGAUGGUAUGGCCAGAUGAACACAGCAUCCUUCACAUCCAAAGGCGAUAGGAGCCUCUUCAAUCUGUGUAAUGAUUUUCCAGCCAUACCUCCAACCUGCUUGGCUUGGAGCCACUGGGCAUGAACACUGAGCAAAGAAUGCAUAGUCAAACACAACUUGGCUUAAGGAAAAACAAGAGUGAAGAAGCAAAGCAUAUCACAGGGUGUUUGGGGCCUCUCUGCAUUUUAAUUUUCUGAUUAAUAAAGUGUGAAUUAGA